UAAUACGGAGGGUGCAAGCGUUGUCCGGAUUUAUUGGGUUUAAAGGGUGCGUAGGCGGUGCGUUAAGUCAGUGGUGAAAUCCCGCAGCUCAACUGUGGAACUGCCAUUGAUACUGGCGCACUUGAGUACGGACGAGGUAGGCGGAAUUUAUGGUGUAGCGGUGAAAUGCAUAGAUACCAUAAAGAACACCGAUAGCGAAGGCAGCUUACUAGACCGUAACUGACGCUCAGGCACGAAAGCGUGGGGAGCGAACAGGAUUAGAUACCCUGGUAGUCCACGCCGUAAACGAUGAUCACUCGAUGUGUGCAAUACACCGUACGCGUCCAAGCGAAAGCGUUAAGUGAUCCACCUGGGGAGUACGUUGGCAACAAUG
rnacentral:rRNA from 1 species